AUGCCGGGGACGACCAUCUCCGGCGUUCUCCUGCUCGCCUGCGUCGUCCUGGCCGUGCAGCUCUGUGUGUGCACGGAGCUACGCAAUAAUGGCAGCCGCGGCGACGAUGGGUUUAGCGUGGAGUUCAUCCACCGGGACUCCGUUCGGUCGCCGUUCCACGACCCAUCGCUCACCGCACACGGCCGUGUGCUUGCGGCGGCGCGGCGGUCCACGGCGCGCGCCCGGGUCAUCGACGACGGCACCAUGUCGGAGGUCGACCACAGGUCGUUCGAGUACCUGAUGGCCGUGGGCAUAGGCACUCCACCCACACGGAUGCUCGCCAUCGCCGACACCGGCAGCGACCUCGUCUGGUUCAACUGCCGGAACGGCACUGGCGCCGCCGCUGUGGACCGUCCUCCGAGCGUCGUCCUGUUCGACCCAGACAACUCGACGACGUUCGGCCUCGUGGGCUGCAAGUCCCGCGCAUGCCGCGCGAUCCCCGACGGCGCCACCUGCGCCCUCGCCUCCAACUGCAAGUACAUCUACUCCUACGGCGACGGCUCUAGGACAAGCGGCCUCAUCUCCACCGAGACCUUCACCUUCGCCCACGUCCCCGGCACCGCCCGCGGCCAUCGGGGCCGGAGGAAGCGCGUGGCCACCGUGAACUUCGGCUGCUCCACUGCCACGGCUGGCACGUUCCAAGCGGACGGCGUGGUGGGCCUCGGAGGCGGCGCCCUCUCCCUCGUCACGCAGCUCGGCGCCCACAAAUCGCUCGGCGGUCGGAAAUUCUCCUACUGCCUCGUGCCCUACUCCGUGAACGCCUCCUCCGCGCUCAACUUCGGCGCCCGCGCCAUAGUGAAGGACACAGGCGCGGUGGCGACACCGCUGAUCCCAUCCCUAGUGGACACGUACUACACCGUCGACCUCCAGUCCGUCAAGAUCGGGAACAUGACCAUCGCGUCGCCGCACGGGCACCAGGACGUCAUCGUCGACUCCGGCACCACGCUGACAUUCCUCAACAAGGCGCUGCUGGACCCAAUGGUGAAGGAGCUGAGCCGCCGGAUCAAGCUCCCGCGGGCGCCAUCGCCCGACAAGCUCCUGACGCUGUGCUUCGACGUGAGCAGGGUAGGGGAGCGGCGGGCGAAGGCGAUGGUCCCUGACGUGACGCUGGGGCUGGGCGGCGGCGCGGCGGUCACGCUCAAUGCGGAGAACACCUUCGUGGUUGUGGAGGAGGGCACCAUGUGCUUGGCGGUGUCGGCGGUGCCGGAGCGGUUACCGGCGUCGAUCCUCGGGAACAUCGCGCAGCAGAACAUGCACGUCGGGUACGACCUCGACAAGCGCACCGUGACCUUCGCCGCGGCAAACUGCGCAGCGUCAUAUCAUGUUCCUAUCCAUCCCCCUCCGCCUAUGUAA
rnacentral:rRNA from 1 species